UAAGACGUAGGGUGCAAGCGUUGUCCGGAUUUACUGGGCGUAAAGAGCGCGUAGGCGGUCUGUUAAGUGUAGAGUGAAAUCUCCAGGGCUCAACCCGGAAACUGCUUUGCAUACUGGCAGGCUGGAGGAAUGCAGAGGUUUGUGGAAUUCCUGGUGUAGCGGUGAAAUGCAUAGAUAUCAGGAGGAACACCAAUGGCGAAGGCAGCAAACUGGGCAUUUCCUGACGCUGAGGCGCGAAAGCGUGGGUAGCAAACAGG
rnacentral:rRNA from 1 species